CGGAUAUGUACGGUGACACCGAGGACGAUAGGCCCACCAUGGGGACUCUCUGGUACGCUCGUCAGAAGAGUUGGGCCCACGUACAGUCUCGGCGGUCCUAUCCUGAGUUUGUAGCUGAGUUUGAUCGGUUGACACCUGAAGACGUUGUGUGGGAGCCCUACUCCCAGUUGGCUAUAAACACUCGUGCACCGUUCGGGAUAUUUUCGGUUUGCUCUCAGGACCAGGGCCUUUGGAUGACAACUACAGCAUUGGUGUAUGACGUUUACAUUGAGGCCCACUGCCCGGACAGAGUCAGGAGGUAGUUCGGUCAAAGGCAGUUGUAUCCUAUGCUGUCAGCAUUGGAUCGGGUCCAACGUCAUGACCACAGUUUGAAAUGUGCAGGUUGAUGGACGUAGAUGCUAG